rnacentral:rRNA from 1 species
CCUACGGGAGGCAGCAGUGGGGAAUAUUGCACAAUGGGGGAAACCCUGAUGCAGCGACGCCGCGUGAGUGAAGAAGUAUCUCGGUAUGUAAAGCUCUAUCAGUAGGGAAGAAAAUGACGGUACCUGACUAAGAAGCCCAGGCUAACUACGUGCCAGCAGCCGUGGUAAUACGUAGGGUGCAAGCGUUAUCCGGAUUUACUGGGUGUAAAGGGAGCGUAGACGGCGCUGCAAGUCCGGAGUGAAAGCCCAUGGCUUAACAUUGGUGCUGGUGUGGAUACCGUGGAGCUUGAGUUCGGGAGGGGCAGGCGGAAUUCGUAGUGUAGCGGUGAAAUGCGUAGAUAUUAGGAAGAACACCGGCGGCGAAGGCGGCCUGCUGGGCCGUAACUGACGUUGAGGCUCGAAAGCGUGGGGAGCGAACAGGAUUAGAUACCCCAGUAGUC